rnacentral:rRNA from 1 species
AUUGAACGCUGGCGGCAGGCCUAACACAUGCAAGUCGAGCGGAUGAAGGGAGCUUGCUCCUGGCUUCAGCGGCGGACGGGUGAGUAAUGCCUAGGAAUCUGCCUGGUCGUGGGGGAUAACGUCCGGAAACGGGCGCUAAUACCGCAUACGUCCUGAGGGAGAAAGUGGGGGAUCUUCGGACCUCACGCUAUCAGAUGAGCCUAGGUCGGAUUAGCUAGUUGGUGGGGUAAAGGCGUACCAAGGCGACGAUCCGUAACUGCUCUGAGAGGAUGAUCAGUCACACUGGAACUGAGACACGGUCCAGACUCCUACGGGAGGCAGCAGUGGGGAAUAUUGGACAAUGGGCGAAAGCCUGAUCCAGCCAUGCCGCGUGUGUGAAGAAGGUCUUCGGAUUGUAAAGCACUUUAAGUUGGGAGGAAGGGCAGUAAGUUAAUACCUUGCUGUUUUGACGUUACCAACAGAAUAAGCACCGGCUAACUUCGUG